UGGGGAAUUUUGGACAAUGGGCGAAAGCCUGAUCCAGCAAUGCCGCGUGUGUGAAGAAGGCCUUCGGGUUGUAAAGCACUUUUGUCCGGAAAGAAAUCCUUGGCUCUAAUACAGUCGGGGGAUGACGGUACCGGAAGAAUAAGCACCGGCUAACUACGUGCCAGCAGCCGCGGUAAUACGUAGGGUGCAAGCGUUAAUCGGAAUUACUGGGCGUAAAGCGUGCGCAGGCGGUUUGCUAAGACCGAUGUGAAAUCCCCGGGCUCAACCUGGGAACUGCAUUGGUGACUGGCAGGCUAGAGUAUGGCAGAGGGGGGUAGAAUUCCACGUGUAGCAGUGAAAUGCGUAGAGAUGUGGAGGAAUACCGAUGGCGAAGGCAGCCCCCUGGGCCAAUACUGACGCUCAUGCACGAAAGCGUGGGGAGCAAAACAGGAUUAGAUACCCUGGUAGUCCACGCCCUAAACGAUGUCAACUAGUUGUUGGGGAUUCAUUUCCUUAGUAACGUAGCUAACGCGUGAAGUUGACCGCCUGGGGAGUACGGUCGCAAGAUUAAAACUUAAAUGAAUUGACGGGGUCAUAGCUGUUUCC
rnacentral:rRNA from 1 species